rnacentral:rRNA from 1 species
CAACGCGACCCCAGGU